rnacentral:rRNA from 1 species
GACGAACGCUGGCGGCGUGCCUAAUACAUGCAAGUAGAACGCACAGUUUAUACCGUAGCUUGCUACACCAUAGACUGUGAGUUGCGAACGGGUGAGUAACGCGUAGGUAACCUGCUUGGUAGCGGGGGAUAACUAUUGGAAACGAUAGCUAAUACCGCAUAAUAUUGAUUAUUGCAUGAUAAUUGAUUGAAAGAUGCUAUUGCAUCACUACCAGAUGGACCUGCGUUGUAUUAGCUAGUAGGUGAGGUAACGGCUCACCUAGGCGACGAUACAUAGCCGACCUGAGAGGGUGAUCGGCCACACUGGGACUGAGACACGGCCCAGACUCCUACGGGAGGCAGCAGUAGGGAAUCUUCGGCAAUGGACGAAAGUCUGACCGAGCAACGCCGCGUGAGUGAAGAAGGUUUUCGGAUCGUAAAGCUCUGUUGUAAGAGAAGAACGGGUGUGAGAGUGGAAAGUUCACACUGUGACGGUAUCUUACCAGAAAGGGACGGCUAACUACGUG